rnacentral:rRNA from 1 species
AAUUUUGCGCAAUGGACGAAAGUCUGACGCAGCAACGCCGCGUGAGGGAUGAAGGCCUUCGGGUUGUAAACCUCUUUUAUCAGGGAAGAUAAUGACGGUACCUGAUGAAUAAGUCACGGCUAACUACGUGCCAGCAGCCGCGGUAAUACGUAGGUGACAAGCGUUGUCCGGAUUUACUGGGCGUAAAGAGCGCGCAGGCGGUCGUUCAAGUCGAGUGUGAAAGCCCCCGGCUCAACUGGGGAGGGUCAUUCGAUACUGAUCGACUCGAAGGCAGGAGAGGGAAGUGGAAUUCCCGGUGUAGUGGUGAAAUGCGUAGAUAUCGGGAGGAACACCAGUGGCGAAGGCGACUUCCUGGCCUGUUCUUGACGCUGAGGCGCGAAAGCUAGGGGAGUAAACGGGAUUAGAUACCCCGGUAGUCCUAGCCGUAAACGAUGGACACUAGGUGUUGGUGGUAUCAACCCCGCCAGUGCCGAAGCUAACGCAUUAAGUGUCCCGCCUGGGGAGUACGGCCGCAAGGCUA